rnacentral:ncRNA from 11 species
GGGAUAUGGUGUAACGGUAGCACCCAUCGUUUGGAACGAUGCGGCCCAGGUUCGAUUCCUGGUAUCCC